rnacentral:piRNA from 1 species
UGUCCAGCCACUCAGGACAGUUACGAUCUGU